rnacentral:rRNA from 1 species
GACGUAGGAUGCAAGCGUUGUCCGGAUUUAUUGGGCGUAAAGAGUUCGUAGGCGGUUCGUUAAGUCUGAUGUUAAAGAUCGGGGCUCAACCCCGGGAGUGCAUUGGAUACUGGCGGACUGGAGCGUGGUAGAGGCUAGUGGAAUUCCCAGUGUAGCGGUGAAAUGCGUAGAUAUUGGGAAGAACACCGGUGGCGUAGGCGACUAGCUGGGCCAUAACUGACGCUGAGGAACGAAAGCCAGGGGAGCGAAUGGG